GUUUAAAAGUGCUCAAAAGUAAAAAUGCAUUAUAACAAUUGUCAGUCAUUAUGUAUUGAUAUAUUAGCAGCAUUAAAAAACGACGGGCUACUAAACGAAUAACUCCAUAAGCAAUUGUUGGAAUACGUCACUUGGUGACGGAAAUAAUAGCCAAAUUGCCGACAGUAGCCAUAAAAUACUCUCUUCUCCUCUAGUAAAUAGAGAAGAAGCUGCAAAAGCAUAUAAAGAUAUGGAUUAUAAUUAAUAACUGUAAUAUAUUUAUAAAAAUGUAUUCUUUUAUCUUUUAUAGACUUAAAUUAUACUACAUUGCUGUUUUAACAAGCAAAAAAUCCAAAGAACAAUCAUUUCGCAACUUAUAAAUAAUGAAGCGAGUACUAGCACUGGAGACCUAACUUCAACAAAGGACAUUGAUUCAGAAUGUACAAAAGAUAAAUAUAUAUGGAAAAAAGACGAAACAAUAUCAUUAUUAUAAACGUAUUUCGAACUUGAAAAUGAAUUUCGUAAUGGAAAGAAGACUGCAAAACAAAAAUAGGAAAAAAUUGCAAAAAUAAUACAAGGAAAGGGCUAUAAUGUGACAGAAUUGAAAUGUUCAAUAAAAUUUCAAGCCCUUAAACGACAGUAUAAAUGUGUUUUGGACCACAAUAACAAAAGUGGAAAUAACAGAAAAGAAUGGGAAUAUUUUAAGGUUGCAAGCUUUACUAUCAAUUAGAGCAAACAGGUAUUUAUCGGUGAUUUGGAUUUCAAGGUAUCAAUGCUGAAGUUUUAUUGAGAGGAGUUUACGUUUGCCAUACGGACAAGCAUGUCAGAAUCAAAACGGUCAAUAAUCCGCGUGUCAAUCGUGACGGUAAAAGAAGCUGACAGCAGAUCCGUUGAAGACUUUAACGUCGGGCCGGGAUUAAAGGAACCGCGCCGGUAACAACACGGAUCGACGACGACAAUAGAGGUGGGAGCCAAUGACCAAUAAAUUGAACUAUGGUUCAUUUCACUAAUUCCCGUAAUAAUCUAAUAGAUUAACGAUUAUCUGUUUAGUACGGCUCGUUUACGUCCGCUCUUUACUCCUGGAGAACGGUUCAUUCAAAAAUUAUGAAUGAAUCUUUCUCUUGGAACUUUUAUCCCAAGCGGAAAAAAGAACACCUUGUGUGAAAAGAUAAGUUCUACAGUAAUUUUUUAUUUGUGCACACAAAAACGAGCGUUAAAAAUCGUGAUUAAUUUAUUGUAAGAAAGAUAGAUAGAUGCAUAAAGAGAGAGUGAGAUAGAGAAACAUGAUAAAAUGUAUUUUUUUGUUAAUACAGAGGACAAUCACUAAUACUAGCACAUAAGUUUGUUGUCGGUAAUAUUUCUUGUCUUAAAUAAAAGCUAAAUAUUAAACUUUAAGAACAUAAAAAGAACUGGUACAUGUUUUCUAUUAGAUAGCAUAAUAUUUUCUUUUUUAUAAUAUUCUCUCAUACUUUGUAACAUUUAAUAUUUUUGCAAAUUAACUCAAACAAGCAUCUAAAAAAUUCGGCUCGAAAAGUUGUUUUGGUAGGCAGUAGGCAGUAGGCAGUAGGCAGUAAUGGCAAAAUUCAAACACAGUUUCAUAGGAUAUAAGUUACCUAGAAAUAUAUUGACAAAUAUAUUGAUAAAUUAAAUAAUAAAAUAUAUUUUUAUGUAUUAAACAACUUUGUAUUAAACAAAAUUUAUGAAAUUGAAAGACUAAAAUUAAAUCUCUAUAUGUUGUUUUAAUACUUUAUGAGAGGAUAAAGAUAGAAUUAUGCGCGCGCACGGACAUUAUUCUUCCUAUCUUAAGAAAUUAACAAAUAUUUAAAAAAAUUC